AAUAUGUAAUUUUAUAAAUGAAUGUAAAGAGAACAGAUAAUUAUUAUUUAAUUGAUAUUAUUACUUUCUGAUUGUAGAAAUAGUAAAGAAAUUAAACGGAUUCUUAGUGAGAGAAACUACAUACUAUAAAAUAUGAUCUUUAGCCAAGGAGAACUUCUAUCGAUCUUUACGGUACUUAACGUACCGGUUCUUCUACGUAAACUGAAGCAACUAACAAAAUUUCUGUUUCUUUUUCAGCACGAUCAUAUAUAACAAACAACAACAAAAAAAUACCGUUUGAUCAUCGACUAAAAAAAAUAAAUGCAAUUAUAUACGCAUAACACUCCUUCUAAAGAAAAAAAUAUUUCCGUGUUUUGUGCUACGUAUGCAGGAUGUCAUAUAUAGAUACAGGAUUGUACAUUCACAUUCGAUUUGCACCAACUGAAACCAUGGUUAAGAAGAUGAAUGUACUUUGAGCGAUGUUACUCAGGAUUCUGUCGGUCUUUCGUGAGAAACAAAGGCAAAAGAAUAAGGCUAGAUUAUGCAUUGACGUAGAUACUUUGCUUUCUUCAGUACUCUGAUCUACAUGAACAGGCAUCAACGAGUCAAGAUAGAAUUCCACGAAAUGUUACAUAGUCAACAAAAUUCAACAAUACAUUUCAAUAUGAGUUAUCAAUAAUUGAUAAAAAUAUUCUAUUGAUUCAAUAAUUUUUCACGCUUCAUAUACGUAUAUCUUUUCAUUUAGAUCUUUACUUGCUAAUAAUCCCUAAUCGUUCAUCGCUAAUAGAAAUAGCCUUCCCUGAUUUACAACGUUGAAUUAAAUCUGUGUAAAAUGCGACCUUGGUUUGCUAUAUGAGCAAACUUUUAUAAUACAAAUUCGUGUUGCAUUACGUGAAAGACUUACUUCUAUGUAUACGUGAGCAAAACGUCUGUAAAAAGCACAUGAAUAAUUUGUAGAACAUUUUUUUUUUAAAUUGUAAUGUAAGGCACGACCCUGGCAAAACACUCUUAUCUUAUCUAAAAGUUACAUUUUUUCACAAGAAAUUAAAAUUACGAAGCGUGCGACGAAAAGUUUGUUUGUACAUCAUCGUAAAGAGAACGAUAAUUAAAAAGAACCGAAUGAAAGCUAACUCGUUGAGAAAACUUGACGCAUUUCCUCCUUUUAAUUCAACUAUCAUGAAUAAAUGGUGUUCGUUUCACACGGUCGCUGCGUCACAGGCUUCGUGAAAUGAAAACCAUAAAGCAUUGAUGUUAAUUUGUUAAUUCCUUAAUAAGUGUUAGUGAGAGAAAAAUGAAAUUAUUUUCCAAGAAUUUCGUUAGAAAACUAAAAUAAAUGAAGCGUGGACCAUCGUUAUCUUCAUCAUAAUCGAGGAACAAAAUCGUCGCUCAUCAAAUUGUUUCAACUAUCGCGUGUCUCGAAAUUGAUCGAGUUUAGAUAUCGUGACCAAUUUAUGGAAACUAAACGCCAGGGUCGACCAAAUGAAAAACUGGAACUUGCGCAACGGCUGAUCGCUAAUGACCCUUUACAAUGGUUUUUACAAGGUCACAAAAGAGACUUGCGUCCAACAUAUCGUACAUGCGAAACUUAGGUAUACGAACUGAUGACUAUAUAAAAUUUAAAAAGCGUCUUAAUUGUUACAGUUUGUUAAUGCAUGACCUAAUGAAAAAUAGUUUCCCUGGAUCAAUAAAAAAAGUUCUUGAACUUAUAUGACUUUCUCAUCGAAGCGUUGCUAAAAUGAUGAUUCCGUGCUCGGCGUAAUCACUGAAAAUAUAUUCAUGUAAACAUUUUAAUGAUUUAAUAUAAAAGAGAAUAUGAUAGUAAUA